AUGGUUCUGAUUCGCUAUGGCGUCACCCACUUCAUCGAGCACCAUCCUCCUCCCAACGCUGAUGCUGCCUACCGUGAGCUUGAUGCCCACCUCGUCCUUUGGAUCUACGCGACUCUCGCUGAUCCUCUCGUCGACCUCGUCGUCGGCGCCACCUCUGUCUAUGAUCUCUGGAUGCGUAUCCACGACUAUUUCCUCGCCAAUCACGCUGCCCGGUACAUGAUGCUCAACCGACAGUAUCACAAUCUCAAGCAGGGCAACCUCUCCGUCGCCGAGUAUGCCCGCCGCAUGAAGUUACUCACUGCCGGCCUUGCGGACAUCGACCACGCUUUCACAGAGGUGGAUCUCACCACCCAGUUCCUCCACGGCAUCGACAAACGUCUCGAUACCAUCCGCGUCGUCUUGGGGGACACAGUUCCCCUUCCGCCCUUCGAGACGUUCUUCUCCCGCCCUUACAAGUGUUGUUAUUGCUCUAUAGUUACCCACAUUUAUAUUCUGUCUAUUCUGCUUUGUCUUGAACAAAUAUUAUUUGAACUGUGUCUCUAUCUUGAUUUGGCAACAAAAACUAGAAUGAUAUAG
rnacentral:rRNA from 1 species